rnacentral:rRNA from 1 species
AGUGAACGCUGGCGGCAGGCCUAACACAUGCAAGUCGAGCGGCAGCGGGUCCUUCGGGAUGCCGGCGAGCGGCGGACGGGUGAGGAAUACAUCGGAAUCCGCCCUGUCGUGGGGGAUAACCUAGGGAAACUUAGGCUAAUACCGCAUACGACCUACGGGUGAAAGCGGGGGAUCGCAAGACCUCGCGCGACAGGAUGAGCCGAUGUCCGAUUAGCUAGUUGGCGGGGUAAAGGCCCACCAAGGCGACGAUCGGUAGCUGGUCUGAGAGGAUGAUCAGCCACACUGGGACUGAGACACGGCCCAGACUCCUACGGGAGGCAGCAGUGGGGAAUAUUGGACAAUGGGCGCAAGCCUGAUCCAGCCAUGCCGCGUGGGUGAAGAAGGCCUUCGGGUUGUAAAGCCCUUUUGUCCGGGAAGAAAUCGUCUGGGCUAAUACCCCGGGCGGAUGACGGUACCGGAAGAAUAAGCACCGGCUAACUUCGUG